rnacentral:rRNA from 1 species
CACGUAGGGUGCGAGCGUUGUCCGGAAUUAUUGGGCGUAAAGAGCUCGUAGGCGGUUUGUCGCGUCUGCUGUGAAAACCUAAGGCUCAACCUUGGGCUUGCAGUGGGUACGGGCAGACUAGAGUGCGGUAGGGGUGACUGGAAUUCCUGGUGUAGCGGUGGAAUGCGCAGAUAUCAGGAGGAACACCGAUGGCGAAGGCAGGUCACUGGGCCGCAACUGACGCUGGAGGA